rnacentral:rRNA from 1 species
UACAGGGGGUGCAAACGUUGCUCGGAAUUAUUGGGCGUAAAGAGCUCGUAGGCGGUCUGUCGCGUCGGUCGUGAAAACUUGGGGCUUAACCCUGAGCUUGCGGUCGAUACGGGCAUGACUGGAGUUCGGCAGGGGAGACUGGAAUUCCUGGUGUAGCGGUGAAAUGCGCAGAUAUCAGGAGGAACACCGGUGGCGAAGGCGGGUCUCUGGACCGCAACUGACGCUGAGGCGCGAAAGCUAGGGGAGCAAACAGG